rnacentral:RNase_MRP_RNA from 1 species
CGAGUCUUCCAUGCCUGUCUCUCGGGGUUACAUACGAGUUCCUGGUAACUCUUUGCUGUGAUAUUAUCAAAUUCUUCUGAAUUUGAUAAUUGUGUCACAUCUCAUACCCUGGGGAAAGUCCCCGGGCCUAGGAUAGAAAGUAUCAAGGCGUGAAAAGUAUUUCGGAUUUCUUGUUCGAAAUAUUCGCCUAUAUUCUGUGGAAAUUCUCAUGCAUUUAUAGAGAGUUUCAUUCGAAACGAAUUUAUAUGCAUGUGUCUGCGGAAACGUGCCAGAUAUCUAAGUUAUCGACAAGUUGUGAAAGGUGGUUGCUCUGUCGGAGUUCCACUUUCCUACACACAAUGGGGCUUACAUUGGGAAAUUC